rnacentral:lncRNA from 1 species
AGAAUGGCAAAAGAAUUGGGAGUCCAGCACCUCAGAGUUCAUAGUGACUUUUAGCUCAUCGUCGGCCAGAUCCAGGGGGAAUAUGAAGCACGAGAGCUAAACAUAAUAAAAUGUCUACAAAAGGUUAGGGAUCUUGCCUCCAACUUCACCACCAUGAACAUUCAACAAAUAUCGAGAUCGAAAAAUGUGUGGGUUGACCUCUUAUCCACUCAUGAUGCUCGAUACGAUCGACCUAAAAAGAAGCUCGUACAUGGAGACUCUCAAGAAG